UCAAACAGAGAAAAAAUAUCAAAAAGAGGAAGUGUGUGGAUUAAAGGAGUGGAGAAAGUGGUCCCAAGUUUGCUACACUAUUAUAUAGAGGGCCUUCCAAGAAGACCCUUGGUCAGGGGUGUCCAAAGUGUGCCCAGGAGCCAUUUGCACUCGGAGUGAUUUUGUGCUGUCCCCAACUGCAGUUCAAGAAUGAUAUGGCCCACCAGCAAAGGGUGAGCUGUCCCCCAACGUGUGACAGCAGGUCCUCAUACUGGAUCCUGGACAGACAGAAGUACUGCUGGAAGUGACCGUCAUCCAGACGCAGCUCCUGGAGCAGGUUGCUCUUCUCAACUCCUGUUCUUGGGUACCAUUGGGAAGGACAGGUCUUGGCUGUCCUGGCUCUUGACAGAGGAGAUAAAUCACUUAGCACACUGGAGGAUAGCCUUCCAGUCGGCGAGCUGGGAACUUCAUUAUCCCGCCCCUGCCACACAUUACCAUGCAGAUUGUCACUGAUUGGCCUGGCUCCGUGGCGUAUGCAGCCUACUUCUGUCACCGCCAGAGGAGCCUCAGAUGUGUCUCCGUUUUGAGAGGGGAAGAGGAAGAAAAAAAUAUCAGUAAAUGGAAUGAUGAGAAAAUAGGAAAGGUGGAAGUGAGACAUACUGUAAUAUGCUAAAAUUGGAAUAUUUUCAGAGGAAGUGGGAAAUUUGUACUAAUUUCACCUUAGCUCAGGCAUAUUUUGUGUAAACAGUUUUAGUACCAAAUAGUUUCUGCUGACACUGCAAUGCACUAAGUGAGGCAAGCAUACUUCUGUGUAAAUUCUGCUGUUAUGUAGUUUCCUCAAGCAUUCAGGCUUAGGGAAACCACAAUUUCUACUCAAGUGAAAUUGUCUUGAUGUAGAAUAACACCUUGUAUGUUGGGAAACUGCAUAACUUUCUUUCCCACAAGCCACCCACAUUGAGCACUUCUGAGAACUAAUGGAUUUAUAUUUAGACAAC